GUGAAUCAUCGAGUCUUUGAACGCACCUUGCGCCUUUUGGUAUUCCGAAAGGCAUGCCUGUUUGAGUGUCAUGAAAUCUCAAUCCCCCCGGGUUUUCUGAACCCUCGAGGUGGACUUGGACAUGGGCGCUGCCGUCUUGUACGGCUCGCCUUAAAUGAAUCAGUGGGAUCUUCAGCAUCCGUGGCAGACGUAAUAAGUUUCGUCUCGUCCCUUGCUGUGAGGACCGAUCAUAACCUGCCAUCGCGCAACCAAUUUUGACUCUGACCUCAAAUCAGGUAGGACUACCCGCUGAACUUAAGCAUAUCAAUAAGCGGAGG
rnacentral:rRNA from 1 species